AAGUCGAGGGAAUUCUUUUUCGUGAAGGAGCGGCGGGCGGGGGUGAGUUACGGCGGGGGUAACCCUGCCUCAUUACACAAUGGGAUAACAUCCCGAAAGGGUAUGUUAAUACAAGAUGAUAUAAGGGAUUCGCAUGGAUUUUUUAUCAAAAGCUUCAGGCUGGUAUGAGAGGGACCCGCGUCUGAUUAGCUAGUUGGUAAGGUAACGGGCUUCCCAAGGGGACGAUCAGUAGCCGACCUGAGAGGGUGAUUGGCCACCAUUGGAACUGAGACACGGUCCCAACUCCUACGGGAGGCAGCAGUGGGGAAUAUUGCACAAUGGGCGAAAGCCUGAUGCAGCAACGCCGCGUGAGCGAUGAAGGCCUUCGGGUCGUAAAGCUCUGUCCUCAAGGAAGAUAAUGACGGUACUUGAGGAGGAAGCCCCGGCUAACUACGUGCCAGCAGCCGCGGUAAUACGUAGGGGGCUAGCGUUAUCCGGAUUUACUGGGCGUAAAGGGUGCGUAGGUGGUUUCUUAAGUCAGGAGUGAAAGGCUACGGCUCAACCGUAGUAAGCUCUUGAAACUGGGAAACUUGAGUGCAGGAGAGGAAAGUGGAAUUCCUAGUGUAGCGGUGAAAUGCGUAGAUAUUAGGAGGAACACCAGUAGCGAAGGCGGCUUUCUGGACUGUAACUGACACUGAGGCACGAAAGCGUGGGGAGCAAACAGGAUUAGAUACCCUGGUAGUCCACGCCGUAAACGAUGAGUAAUAGGUGUCGGGGGUUACCCCCCUCGGUGCCGCAGCUAACGCA
rnacentral:rRNA from 1 species